GCGGAUUGGUGCAUAGGUAGCAUAACUGGCUCAUGCCCGGUAGAAAUAGGUUCGAAUCCUAUGUCCGCA